ensembl:lncRNA
UAAAAACUUUGCAGAAGCAAAGGAACUUUGCUAAAAUGGAAUAACUUAGCAGAACUGCAAUAUCUUAGAGGAAACAUAAUACUUGGCAGAAAUACAAUAGCAUAGCAGAACUUAGCAGAAAUAUUGUAACUUACCAGAAACAUGAUAACUUCUCAAAAAUACAAGAAUUUAGGAGAAAUAGUAUAAGAUAACAGAAAGAAUAUAUUUAGCCAAAAAUACUUAAGCAUUACAGAAACACUAUGAUUUAGAAAAAUAGUACAACAGAGCAGAAAUACUGUGAUUUACCAGAGACACUGUGAUGAACUAUGAAUAUUAUAAUUUUAAAUCAAUACUAUGUUUUAUCACAAAUACUAUAGUUUGACAGAAAUACUAUCAUUUGGCAGAAAUACUAUGUUUCAGCACAAAUACUCUGGUUUAGCACAAAUAUCAUAACAUAGCAGAAAUACAAUUAUAUAGCAGAAAUGCUAUAUUUAGAAAGAAAAAUAUAAUAUAGUAGAAAUAGUAUGAUUUAGCAGAAAUACUACAAUAUAGCAUAAUAACAAUGAUUUAGAACAAAUACUAUGAUUGAGCAGAAUAGUAAUAACUUAAGUGAAAAUACUGGAAAAGUAAGAUGACAAGCUGAAAAAUAAACAGAACAUGGUUAAGUUCCCUCAAAACUAAUUGUUGUUCACCUGUGGAAAAAAAAAUAAAGAAAUAAAAAUAAAUUUAAAAAACAAGAAGGAACAGCCAACAGAUACACACAAAAUCAAAUAUGUAUACACAAAUGCACAGAGAGAGAGACACACGGAGGGUCUAUGCCAGUCAACUAGUCAGAAUAUAUUAUAUUUUUUUCCAACAAUGAGAUGCUGCCCUAAAGAGGGUCUCUCUCUCUCUCCCUCUCUCUCAUGCACACACACACACACACACACACACACACACACACACACACACACACACACAGAGGGAGAGAGAAGCAUGUUUUCAGUCAAGCAGCCUGGGAGCUGCUGAGUUUGAAUCCACAGAGGCUGUGUACUUUUUCCCGCCAAAACAGGUGCACACACCCAGCACAGAAACAGGAUUUUUGUAGUCUAUUUACCAUAGUGAGGAUUCCCCUCAAACAAAUGACCAUAAUUUCCUAACUGUAUUGGCCAGAACAGUCAUUCUUACACAAUUUUGCAACUGAAAACUUUAAGAGGCAUAAAAGUAAAAC